UGGGGAAUUUUGGACAAUGGGCGAAAGCCUGAUCCAGCAAUGCCGCGUGUGUGAAGAAGGCCUUCGGGUUGUAAAGCACUUUUGUCCGGAAAGAAAUCCUUGGCUCUAAUACAGUCGGGGGAUGACGGUACCGGAAGAAUAAGCACCGGCUAACUACGUGCCAGCAGCCGCGGUAAUACGUAGGGUGCAAGCGUUAAUCGGAAUUACUGGGCGUAAAGCGUGCGCAGGCGGUUUGCUAAGACCGAUGUGAAAUCCCCGGGCUCAACCUGGGAACUGCAUUGGUGACUGGUAGGCUAGAGUAUGGCAGAGGGGGGUAGAAUUCCACGUGUAGCAGUGAAAUGCGUAGAGAUGUGGAGGAAUACCGAUGGCGAAGGCAGCCCCCUGGGCCAAUACUGACGCUCAUGCACGAAAGCGUGGGGAGCAAACAGGAUUAGAUACCCUGGUAGUCCACGCCCUAAACGAUGUCAACUAGUUGUUGGGGAUUCAUUUCCUUAGUAACGUAGCUAACGCGUGAAGUUGACCGCCUGGGGAGUACGGUCGCAAGAUUAAAACUCAAAGGAAUUGACGGGGUCAUAGCUGUUUCCU
rnacentral:rRNA from 1 species